rnacentral:lncRNA from 12 species
UUUAUGAUAGCGGUUCCCUUGGACGGUAAGAUGAUUUUCUCUUUCCUUUUGCAGAGCUCUUUGAUGUCCCCCGUGGAUCUCACAGUGCGCUGCAGGGACACGCGGCACCGGGAGUGUGGAGGACUCAUUCCAAGUGUCUGCUCUUCCUGGCAGAGUUUAAAACCGGAUCCCGUUCUCAUCAGCCCGAGAGGACAUACUCGUACCUUCUCCGUGCCGAGACUCGGUCCAGGCUCUGGAAGGUCGUGAGUGAGCGGGGGGCAGUUCUUGCUGUGGACGGGGCCCGUGUGGUAAGGGAGACGGAGCCACGGUAGUGGGAACACGGCGAGGAGGGGCCGGGAUGCGCCCAGAGGCCCAGGCACCAGCCCCGGACACCCGGGGUCCCCUUCCCUGGAGGGUCACAGAUGCCGUGUGCCUGGGCGGGGGGCGCGUUCCGUGAGCGGAGGGCCCAGGACGUGCUGGCAGCCUUGGGGCUGGGUGGGGAAGCCGCGGAGUCUGGUCAAGACGCAGACUCCAGGGUGGGAGGGACGGUUCAGUCUGAGACGCAGGCGCCACUGGUGUUGAGGCUUGGCGGGCACCGAUGGCCCUGGCGCCGGGCCUGACUGCCCCUCCAUGGGGGCCCCCGGGGGCCAAGCACCGGGCCUUACCCGGGAGCGUGCUGUGUAUUUCAGGGUCUGGGCCACACAGAGCGAGUGAUCAGGACCAGCGGGCACGGCUCAAAACUUGGCUCUGCCGCCUUGUGCAGCUGCUGCACGGCCCUCUGCCUCAGUUUCCCCCACUAUAAAAUGGGAAUGUCUGUGAUGUCUGCCCCAUGGAUUUUUCAUGAGCGUCACUUGAGAUAAAUUACACAACACGCUUUAAGCCCUUGCCGGCCGCAUGGUAAGCACCCAGUGAACUGUUGCUGCCGUCGCCCUUACGCUCUUUCCGAUCUGUUUUACCGGAUGAAAUAAUCAUCUGUGACACAGGUACAAUCUCUGAGGACGUAAUCUCUGUGUUUGUAAGUGGUCGUAUCUGCCUUUGCUACUUUUUUCUUUAAGCAGGUCAGAAUCAGAGCAUGCAGGAAGCGUAACCACCAGAAUUUAACGAAUGGCCGCAGCACACGGUUGUGGGCGGCGGGUCGUCGUGCUUCCAGACCGUCCAGUGGGCUGCGGCCGCAGUCCCAUCCCUGUCAAGGGCUCACUGCCCCCGUGCACGGUUAGCACUCCGGCUACGGGCGUGCACGGGGGCCUUCAGAGGAGCCGCCCGAGGG